AACGGUCUAUACCUGCGGUACCUGCGGAGGGAUCAUUAAUGUGUAUUUCCAACUGUGCGCCCUCGGGCUGCACGUUGGUUCAACACUUUCCACACCUGUGCACCAUGUUCGAUUGGGGAGUUCAUCUCUCCUUUCGUAUUUUUUAACUUCAUUGUUGUCUUGUAUGUCAUUGAUUAAUUGUAAUACAACUUUCAACAACGGAUCUCU
rnacentral:misc_RNA from 1 species